rnacentral:lncRNA from 1 species
GAGGAAAUUUUAGCUAACUAAAUUAAAAAACUUCAAGGAAAGGGGGGGGGGGGGAAGAGAGGAAAUUUUAGCUAAUUAAAUUGAUGGAAAUAUUUGAGCAAUUAAAAUAAGGGAAAUUAUUAGCCAUAUAUCUUUAAAUGACACUCGUAUCAAAUGUGUGUGAAUACUUUUCAAGUGUAUCACUCGUAUACCCUAAGUUGACAAAAUACUUCUGCCGUCCACCAAUCCGUUAACUUCUGUUUGCAAGCGCUGACAUCAUAAGGGUAAUCUAGUCUUUUAAGAUUGACGAAACUUUGAUUUAAAAAAACGACAUGUCAUCUCAUUUACCUAGUAAAAAAUGACAUGUCAUCUCAUUUACCUAGUAAAACAUGACAUGUCAUAUGAUAUAUAUUGAUAAAAAUGACAUGUCAUCCAAUUUAUCAGAUAAUUGUUAAUAAUUGCUAAAAAAAAAUUACUUUACAACUGGAAAUUUAACCUAAAUUUUUAAAGAUCUACUCUUCCAAGCUCCAACUGGAAAUUUUUAUGGUAUAAUAUAUAUAAUUGUAAAUAAUAUGUUGUUAAUAAUUUUUAUGGUAUAAUAUUGAUUUUUUUAUGGAUAAUUGUUAAUAAUAUGUACCAUUAAUAAUUUAUUUUGUAAUCAAAAAAAUAUAUUGUUAAUAACAAAAUAAAAAAAAUUGUGUAUUGAAAAUUUACAUUAAUUUUUGGGAUAAAUUUAGUUUUUUACAUCAUUUUGAGUUUCAAGUGUAAAAUAAUUUAUUUGUCACAAUUCAGAUAACUUUCUAACGGAAGUUAACAGAUUUGUGGACGACAGAAAUAUUUUGUCAACUUAAGGUAUACGAGUGAUACACUUAAAAAGUAUUCACACACGUUUGAUACGGAUGUCGUUUAAAGAUAUGUAGUUGAUAAUUUACUUUAAAAUAAUUAUAGAAAACUCAAUAAAAUAUAGUAAAAAUCGAGGGACAAAACAGUAUUAAUUUGGCAACUCUGAGUCAGACACGGAACAUAUCUCAUUCCGUUCAACAGAAGACCAAUAAAUGGAGAAUAUGGAAGUGACUAGGCCUUGCCUAGCCAUGAAAUCAUCUCCUGCUAUCUCGUGAAAAGAGAAUCCGUAACACUGUGGAGGGUGAUGGAGAUUGAAUCAUUGAAAUAGAUUUGAGGUCCGUCCUAAGUUGAAGUUGGGUAAGUACUGGCUCGUGAUGUCAAGUUUUUUUUUGAUAAAGCUCGUGAUCUCAAGUUAAAAUGUAGUGGGGGGAUUGUUUAUUUACUGUUCAUGCACAUUCAUUGAGCCGGCCACUAUGAUACAAUAUCCCUUGAAUUAGGGCAUGAAGUAAGGUUCUUUUAUUUAUUUAUUUAUUCUACAAGAGAUGUAGUAUUGUACAUGUUUUUAUAUAAAUAUAAAAAACAUGGGAGAGGCUAUGGUACAUUGGUACUUGCGAGUAUUGGCAUAAAUAUGUGUGUGAUUGCAGAUUUAAAAUAUGAGUUGUUAGAAUUUAAAUAGCCCCAUUAAUGAUAAACUAGUAUCUUAAACCUUUUGACUUGAAUGAAAUAUGAGUAUUUUAUACUUAAAUCAUUAAUAGAGUUAACUUAGGUUACUUGUUAAUGUCGUUUUCACUAACGUCUAUAUAAAAAGCUCUAUUUACAAAGAAAUAUACAGACUAUUUUUUUUUAAGAAGUAGGAUAGGUAAAAUUUUUGUCUCUUAUCUUACCUAUUAUUCGAACUUAUACGGGUAGCUCAAGAAAACUAAUAUUGAAAAUCCACUCAGGCAAGCUUUUCUCGGACAAUAUACAAAUAAUUUAGCUACAUAGUAUCGGAGUCUCCCAAUUCCUUCUACAUGUAAAUUCUUUCUAUCUUGGUUUUUAUUUCAAUUUCUUAGCAAUUUAUGGGCUCUUGCCUCUCUGCCCAUCUCUCUCUCUCUCUCUCUCUCUCUCUCUUUGUCCUUUUCUCUUUUUUCCCUUUCACAAUCUCUAUAAAUCUACCUAAUCUUAAUUAAAAUCAAAUUAUCCACAUUUUUACUUUGAAGGACAAUCAACAAGUGCAUAGAUCAGUUAACAUGAGAUUGUUCUAACUUAACUAAGGUAUUGGUUCGAGAUUUAGGAAUGCAGUUGUGUUAAAUAAUUUUUGGCAGAGUUUUGUCGCUCUAGUGUCCAACCUGACUCGAAUCUAAACUAGUCGAAGUCCAAUGUGAUUUUUGGAUAUCAUAUGAUUUA